rnacentral:rRNA from 1 species
GAUGAACGCUGGCGGCGUGCCUAAUACAUGCAAGUCGAGCGGACGGACGCGAAUCUUGCUUCUCUGAUGUUAGCGGCGGACGGGUGAGUCACACGUGGAUACCCUACCUAUAAUACUGGGAUAACUUCGGGAAACCGGAUCUAAUCCCGUAUAAUCUUUUGCACCGCAUUGUUCAAAGGUAAAAUACGGUCUUUCUGUCUCUUCUAGCUGGAUAUGCGCUGCAUUAGCUGGUUGUUAAGUUAACGGCUUUCCAGGGCGACGAUGCAUAGACGACCGGCGGGGGGGAUCGGCCACACUGGAAGUGAGACACGGUCCAGACGCCUACGGGAGGCACCAGUAGGGAAUCUUCCGCAAUGGGCGAAAGCCUGACGGAGUAACGCCAAGUGAGUGAUGAAGGCGUUCGGAUCGUAAAACUCUGUUAUUAGUGAAGAACAUAUGUGUAAGUAACUGAGGACAGAUUGACGGUACCUAAUAAGAAAGCAACGGCUAACUACGUG